UCCCUUAUACUUUGACCUUUGUGAUGUGGUGGACUACAAGUGGGAGCCUGGCACUACCUAUAAUUGACAUCCCUCAACCACCUACUAUGGUUGCAGCCCGGCUUCACACAGCAAGGAGAUCUACUUUUGCCCUGGACACAGAGUGCGCCGGGAUGUGGAGGGCUGGGGAGUGGGUACUGUGCCCAGUGGGGAUGUGAGACCACUGGGGAUGCGUAUUGGAGGCCAUCCUCAUCUUGGGACCUGAUAACUCUGAAACGAGAUGGUCGGCCUCCUUACACCUUGUGUAAACGGGCACGAAAUGCAAUCCCCUCGUCCUCCACUUCACCAACUCAGGGACCAUAUCCAACUAGGGGAGAAAGAAUACAAACAUUGGAAGACAUGGGAAACUGCAGAGAAUUGCCAUCUUCUACAAUUACAACUAUUGCAAUCGUGAACGUUCAAAAAACACAGGGUACCUUCCGGAGAUCUGUGAACCAACCAGGAAUCUACACCCUUAAAGAAAGCUGUCUAUGCUCCAGAAUUCCAUAGCUUCUAAG
rnacentral:sRNA from 1 species